GUGGGGAAUAUUGGACAAUGGGCGAAAGCCUGAUCCAGCCAUGCCGCGUGUGUGAAGAAGGUCUUCGGAUUGUAAAGCACUUUAAGUUGGGAGGAAGGGCAGUAAGUUAAUACCUUGCUGUUUUGACGUUACCGACAGAAUAAGCACCGGCUAACUUCGUGCCAGCAGCCGCGGUAAUACGAAGGGUGCAAGCGUUAAUCGGAAUUACUGGGCGUAAAGCGCGCGUAGGUGGUUUUGUAAGUUGGAGGUGAAAUCCCCGGGCUCAACCUGGGGACUGCCUCCAAAACUGCAUGACUAGAGUACGGUAGAGGGUAGUGGAAUGUCCUGUGUAGCGGUGAAAUGCGUAGAUAUAGGAAGGAACACCAGUGGCGAAGGCGACUACCUGGACUGAUACUGACACUGAGGUGCGAAAGCGUGGGGAGCAAACAGGAUUAGAAACCCCGGUAGUCC
rnacentral:rRNA from 1 species